GGCACCCGUUUCGGGGACCUACCAGCUGGUUCUCACAACAAGAUCUUCGCAGCUGCCAUUUAUCCUGUUCUUCUUGGGUGCAGCUUAUUUUUAAUUGCUUCAGAGUUGACCUAGGCAGACUUUGGGCAGGUGUAGGCAGCAUUCGGGCUUUCAAAAUGCUUGCCUGCACAACCUUCCAUGUGCCAAGUUCCAGGAAAAUGGAUUCAGCAGCCACAGUGUGUCUGAACUGAUUGCUUACCAUCAGAAUCAUGUGUGUUUUGGACAUCUUUGAUAUCUCUACAGCUCAUCCCUCACAGCAACAUCUGAGAUCACUGUCCUUCCCAGCACUGUUCUUUGGCUCAGUUGCUUGGCUUCAGUGUGAGGUGAGCAGGAACUGGAGUGGCAUUUGGCUAACGUGCUCUGAAACACUCAGUUCAUCUCAAAGUGCUU